ensembl:snRNA U6 U6 spliceosomal RNA
GUGCUCGCUUCCGCAGCACACACACUAAAAUUGGGAUGCUACAGAGAAGAUCAGCGUGGCCCCUGUGCAAGGUGACACACAAAUUCGUGAAGUUCCACAUUUGAAU